CGUCUCUUGGGCAGCUCCUCAGUUUUUAACAGUUUAUAAACGUUUUCUUUUAAAAUUAAACCCUCAAUACAGUUUCAAAGUGAUUUAAAAAGUGUGUUACAUCUGAAAAACUCACAACUUUAUAAUAUACUGGCAAGUAUUGACACGAAAAGGACAUCGCAACAUAUUGUUCAAAUUGAAUUGAAAAGAAUGGAAAGAAACCCCUCAAAUGACUUAUCUAAAAGACAAAGAAGAAUGUUAACGAGUGUCAACCAAGAAGAGGCUCAGAAAACAUCAAAUAGUGCUCACGUUUCACUUUCUGAUUUAAAGGUGGAAGCUCAAAGCACAUCAAACAAUAGAAAAAGCGUCACCAAAAGCAAUAAGACAUCAGUUUCUGAUACUAAUUCACCAUCAUUGGAUCCUAAAUUACAAGAUGAUAUUGAAAAAUGGGCAGUAGAAAACGAUAUAUCUCAUGAAGCACUAUCAGAAUUACUGAAAAUAACCAAGAAAUUUUGUCGUUGUUUACCCAAAAAGAACUAAUUAUGUCACUGAAUCGUCAUAACACAACACCUUUUGAAAAUAGAGGAAUGACAGGCUCAAGAUGGUGCCUUUGAAAACCAAAUUUGUGCUAUGUUUGUGACUAAAUGGCGACCAACAAACAGGAUUGGCUAUAAAUCAACAUUUUGUAAAAACAUAUUUGACUGCAAUAUAGUUAAUUUUAUCACUA